rnacentral:misc_RNA from 1 species
AACUUUUGACAAUGGAUCUCUUGGUUCUGGCAUCGAUGAAGAACGCAGCAAAAUGCGAUAAGUAAUGUGAAUUGCAGAAUUCAGUGAAUCAUCGAAUCUUUGAACGCACAUUGCGCCCGCCAGUAUUCUGGCGGGCAUGCCUGUUCGAGCGUCAUUUCAACCCUCAAGCCCAGCUUGGUGUUGGGACUCGCGAGUCAAAUCGCGUUCCCCAAAUUGAUUGGCGGUCACGUCGAGCUUCCAUAGCGUAGUAGUAAAACCCUCGUUACUGGUAAUCGUCGCGGCCACGCCGUUAAACCCCAACUUCUGAAUGUUGACCUCGGAUCAGGUAGGAAUACCCGCUGAACUUAAGCAUAUCAAUAAGCGGAGGCU